rnacentral:rRNA from 1 species
CAGUCGCCGCGGGAAUACGUAGGGUGCAAGCGUUAAUCGGAAUUACUGGGCGUAAAGCGUGCGCAGGCGGUUAUAUAAGACAGAUGUGAAAUCCCCGGGCUCAACCUGGGAACUGCAUUUGUGACUGUAUAGCUAGAGUACGGCAGAGGGGGAUGGAAUUCCGCGUGUAGCAGUGAAAUGCGUAGAGAUCUGGAGGAAUACCGAUGGCGAAGGCAGCCAUCUGGCCUAAUACUAACGCUGAGGUACGAAAGCAUGGGGAGCAAACAGGAUUAGAUACCCCCGUAGUCCCUGUCUCUUUACA